AUGGUCCUACCCUGGAGUCAAACCAGGUCCACUAACUACAGUAUAUUAACAUGGUCCUACCCUGGAGUCAAACCAGGUCCACUAACUACAGUUUAUUAACAUGGUCCUACCCUGGAGUCAAACCAGGUCCACUAACUACAGUAUAUUGACAUGGUCCUACCCUGGAGUCAAACCAGGUCCACUAACUACAGUAUAUUAACAUGGUCCUACCCUGGAGUCAAACCAGGUCCACUAACUACAGUAUAUUAACAUGGUCCUACCCUGGAGUCAAACCAGGUCCACUAACUACAGUAUAUUAACAUGGUCCUACCCUGGAGUCAAACCAGGUCCACUAACUACAGUAUAUUAACAUGGUCCUACCCUGGAGUCAAACCAGGUCCACUAACUACAGUAUAUUAACAUGGUCCUACCCUGGAGUCAAACCAGGUCCACUAACUACAGUAUACAGGUCAUUCUCUCUUUCUCCCCUUACCCAUCUGUCUAUCGCCUCCUUUGAAUUCCAUGCUGUCACAGUUACCAGCCCUUUCAAGCUUAACAUCCUUAUCA